rnacentral:rRNA from 1 species
UGGGGAAUAUUGCACAAUGGGGGGAACUCUGAUGCAGCGACGCCGCGUGAGUGAUGAAGGAAUUCGUUUCGUAAAACUCUGUUCUAUGGGAAGAAAAGGACUGUACCAUAGGAGAAAGCUCCGGCUAAAUACGUGCCAGCAGCCGCGGUAAUACGUAUGGAGCGAGCGUUGUCCGGAAUUAUUGGGCGUAAAGGGUGCGCAGGCGGCUUUACAAGUUGGAUGUGAAAUAUUGUGGCUCAACCACAAACGUGCAUCCAAAACUGCAAAGCUUGAGUUAAGGAGAGGUAAGUGGAAUUCCUGGUGUAGCGGUGGAAUGCGUAGAUAUCAGGAGGAAUACCGGUGGCGAAGGCGACUUACUGGACUUAAACUGACGCUCAGGCACGAAAGCGUGGGGAGCAAACAGG